rnacentral:tRNA from 1 species
GGGUCAGUAGCUCAGCUGGUUAGAGUACACGCCUGAUAAGCGUGAGGUCGGCGGUUCAAGUCCGCCUUGACCCACCA